rnacentral:rRNA from 1 species
GUGGGAUCCCGNCCCCCUUCUCACGGAGGGGCCGGGCGCACCACCGGCCCGUCUCGUCCCGCACCGUCGGGGAGGUGGAGCAUGAGCGCGCGCGAAUAGGAUCCCGAAAGAUGGUGAACUAUGCCUGGGCAGGGC